AUUUUGUUGUGUUCUGCAAUUGAGCUUCAUUAAAAGCUUUAAUCUAAAGCUCCACCAUGGGAAGUCUCACAGAGCUAAACUGGGAGGUCUCUGAAGAGCUUUAAUUUCAAACCCAGUGGCAAUUAAGAAGAACCUGUGGUGUCAGCCCAAAGUUCUGAAAAACCUUGGCUGGAAGCUUUGCAAAAGGAAGUUGACCUGAGAUUUCUUCAAGGAAUGAUGAAGAGGAACAACAAACAAGCAGAAAUCACUAAAACCGAAAACAGAAAUGUGCAUCAGGAGGACUUGCUCUAUGAUUUUUUGGGCACUGAAGUAAGGCAAAGCAGCCUGUAGCUCCCUGAGUCAUUCUUCUCUUGCCUUUUUUGAGAAUGAGUGCCACGUCUAUUUUUCUUCAGCCAUUGUGGGACUUCCCUGAUUAAAUGACCCUUCCAGGACGAGAGGGUGUCACAGUGACAUUGGUCAGCUUUGUUAGCACCCCCAGAUACAUCUCAUCAAGUGCAAUGGACUUACAUAGGUUAAGAUUUCUCGAGCAGUCACUGACUUGAUACUGUUCCACUUCUGGCAGUCUCUUCCCUGAAUCUUACCUCUAGGCAGAAUGACCUGGGAGAGAAUUUGUUGGUGAAGACUGAGACAACAAAGGCAUUGAGUACCUCAGUUUUAACUGUGC